GUUGACAGUGAUUAGCUAAGGUUGCUAAUUGGCCUCAUCAGGUAUCUUUCUUUCUCUUUCUAAUUAUAUAACCAGUGGUCCUCAUCUGGUGGUGACUUUGCCCUCUGAGAACAUCUGGCAUUAUCUGGAAAAAUUUCUGGUUGCCACAGUUGUGUGUGUGUAGGUUUCUAUUGGCAUCUAAUAGGUAGAGGCCAGGGAUGCUACUAAACAUUCUAGAAUGCACAGGAUAGCCCUAACAACAAAGAAUUAUCCAUCCCCAAAUGUCAACAAUGAUACUACUGAGAAACCCUGAUAUAAACAUAGUUUGUAAGCGGGACAAAGAGACACUGUGAGCGGUCAGCUUUUUCAUGUUUUCAGAAGGUUCAACUGAAGUCAGCAAAUAAUGGAGACAAUGAAAAGAUAAUCAACAUAUUAGCUAAACAGCUGAAGAGGAAACUACCUCCCACAAAUGCAGGGAGAAGACAGAAACAUGAACUAACAUGUCCUUCUUGUGAUUCUUAUGAGAAAAAACCACCCAAGGAAUACCUAGAAAGACUGAAAUCACUCAUCCAAAAGAUGAUUCAUCAGCACCUGUCCUAGAACACAUGGGAUACGAAGGUUCCUGAAGAUCUCACUUGAAGCCGGACACUAUAUUGCAUACUUUAAAACAGCAGUGAAACCCACUUCUUGGUAUUCCAAGUGGACGAGUACAAUGUAUUAGUGAUGGGGGAACACUCAGAUGAGUGUUCAAGGUCAGGAUUAUUUCUCCAAAAUCACUAUGCAGUACUUCGGUUUCAUCUACACGCUCUGUUUAGUCAACUUGAAAAAAUUUUCUACUCAAUUUGAGUCUGAUUUCUUAUGUUAUAGAUUUCUAUGGCUUCUAAAGUUUUUACUUUAU